rnacentral:rRNA from 1 species
AAUCUUCCACAAUGGACGGAAGUCUGAUGUUUCAUCGCCGCGUGAGCGAAGAAGGUCUUCGGAUCGUAAUUCUCUGUUGUAAGAGAAGAACACGUACGGGACUCACUGCCCGUACCUUCACGGUACCUUAUCAGAAAGCCACGGCUAACUACGUGCCAGCAGCCGCGGUAAUACGUAGGUGGCAAGCGUUGUCCGGAAUUAUUGGGCGUAAAGCGAGCGCAGGCGGUCCUUUAAGUCUGAUGUGAAAGCCCACGGCUCAACCGUGGAGGGUCAUUGGAAACUGGAGGACUUGAGUACAGAAGAGGAAAGCGGAAUUCCACGUGUAGCGGUGAAAUGCGUAGAGAUGUGGAGGAACACCAGUGGCGAAGGCGGCUUUCUGGUCUGUAACUGACGCUGAGGCGCGAAAGCGUGGGGAGCAAAC